rfam:Papilio machaon contig66674, whole genome shotgun sequence.
GCAUUGGUGGCUCAGAGGUUAAGCACUUGACUUGCAAUCUGCAGGUCCUGGGUUCGAAUCCCUCCAAUGUG